rnacentral:rRNA from 1 species
GAUGAACGCUGGCGGCGUGCCUAAUACAUGCAAGUCGAACGAAUCUUCUUCGGAAGAUGAGUGGCGAACGGGUGAGUAAUACAUAGGUAACCUGCCCCUGUGCGGGGGAUAACAGGAGGAAACUCCUGCUAAUACCGCAUAGCCAUGAGCACCGCAUGGAGCUCAUGCCAAAUAUCCUUUAUGGGAUAGCGCAGGGAUGGACCUAUGGCGCAUUAGCUGGUUGGCGGGGCAACGGCCCACCAAGGCAACGAUGCGUAGCCGGCCUGAGAGGGCGGACGGCCACAUUGGGACUGAGACACGGCCCAGACUCCUACGGGAGGCAGCAGUAGGGAAUUUUCGGCAAUGGGGGAAACCCUAACCGAGCAACGCCGCGUGAGCGAAGAAGGCCUUCGGGUCGUAAAGCUCUGUUGUAAAGGAAGAACGGCGCAUACAGGAAAUGGUAUGCGAGUGACGGUACUUUACCAGAAAGCCACGGCUAACUACGUGCCAGCCGCCGCCGUAACAC